ACUAUGCUUGGCCCUAAACCUCAGUAGUUAGAUAACAAAACUACUCGCCAGAAUACUACAAGCAACAGCUUAAAACUCAAAGGACUUGACGGUGCUUUACAUCCCCCUAGAGGAGCCUGUUCCGUAAUCGAUAAACCCCGAUCCACCCUACCCUCUCUUGCUCAGCCUAUAUACCGCCAUCUUCAGCAAACCCUAAUGAGGGCCACAAAGUGAGCGCAAACGCCGUCGCCGCGAAUACGUUAGGUCAAGGUGUAGCCCAUGAGACGGUAAAAAAUGGGCUACAUUUUCUAUUUCAGAAAACCCACGAAAACCCUUAUGAAACUUAAGGGUCCAAGGAGGAUUUAGCAGUAAAUUAAGAAUAGAGUGCUUAAUUGAACCAGGCCAUAAAGCGCGCACACACCGCCCGUCACUCCUCUCAAAUAUAUUUAAGGAAUAUCCUAACUAAACGCCCUAAUAUUUAUAUAGAGAGGAUAAGUCGUAACAUGGUAAGCGUACUGGAAGGUGCGCUUGGAUAAAU
rnacentral:rRNA from 1 species